rnacentral:rRNA from 1 species
UUUGAUCAUGGCUCAGAUUGAACGCUGGCGGCGUGCCUAACACAUGCAAGUCGAGCGGUAACAGGUGUAGCAAUACAUGCUGACGAGCGGCGAACGGGUGAGUAAUGCUUCGGAAUCUGCCCAAUGGUGGGGAAUAACUAGCCGAAAGGUUAGCUAAUACCGCAUGAGCCCUACGGGGGAAAGCAGGGGAUCGUAAGACCUUGCGCCGAUGGAUGAGCCGAAGCCGGAUUAGCUAGUUGGUAGGGUAACGGCCUACCAAGGCGACGAUGCGUAGCCGACCUGAGAGGGUGAUCGGCCACAUUGGGACUGAGACACGGCCCAGACUCCUACGGGAGGCAGCAGUGGGGAAUUUUGGACAAUGGACGCAAGUCUGAUCCAGCCAUGCCGCGUGCGGGAAGAAGGUUUUCGGAUCGUAAACUGCUUUUCUCUGGGACGAGAACGGACGGUACCAGAGGAAUCAGCCUCGGCUAACUACGUGCCAGCAGCCGCGGUAAUCA